AGAGAGAGAGAGAGAGUUGUAGUUGCUCUGAUGGGUAAUUUUAACUAUUAUUUUAAGAUAUGUAGUUGCUCUGAUUGAUUGUUCUUGAAAAAUAUAUUGCACUUUUUUUUUAAGAACUUUUGGCGAAAUUUUUUUAUGCUAAUUUCUCAUUGUAUACUUUUUCUAUCUUUAAAUCAAAAUUCAAAGAUAUCAAUCAAUGAAGAGAUAAACAGUCAUGAGAAAUGAGUUUUUUUGAAAAAAAAAAAUUGAAAAAAAGAUCAAAUUCAGAUUUAUGUCGGUUCCAUUAAAACAAUAUCAAUCAAUGAAGAGACAAAAUCUCACGCUUUUUGUUUAAAUUUUAAAAUAUAUUUUUAUUGUGUUGUUCUCCUUUUAACUCUAACUACUACUUUAAGAUAUAUGGUUGUUUUGAUGGAUUGUUCUUAAAUAAUAUAUAUUGCACUUUUGUUACGUACUGGUGAAAUUUGUUUUAUGGCAAUUUCUUAUUGCAUACUUUUCAUAUCUUUGAAUUUUGUGGCAAUUUCUUAUUGCAUACUUUUCCUAUCUUUAAAUCAAAAUUUAAAGAUAUGAAGAGAUAAAAGUCAUAAGGAAUAAGUGCUUUUGAAAAGUUUUGUUGAAAAAGAUAAAAUUAGGAAAAAAAAAUCAAUUUUUUUUAAAAAAAUAAUUUUUUAAAAAUCUCUUGAAAAGUUAGAAAUUUUUAACAGAUUUUAAAAAUAAAUUUUUUUUAAAAAAAUCAUAUUUUAAAUAAGGACUUGCUAACUAUGAGUGUGACAACCUUAGAGAGAGAAAGAGAUGAAGAAGUAGAUGAAGAGAUAGAGAGAGAGGCAUUGAUGUCGUAGAGUUGG
rnacentral:lncRNA from 1 species